UGGUAAUGCCGGAUGCUCCGGUUGGAUGCAUGUCCUUCCGGGAAAGAUUCCAUCGGUAUGGGAUGGGGUCGCGUCCUAUCAGCUUGAUGGCGGGGUAACGGCCCACCAUGGCUUCGACGGGUAGCCGGCCUGAGAGGGCGACCGGCCACAUUGGGACUGAGAUACGGCCCAGACUCCUACGGGAGGCAGCAGUGGGGAAUAUUGCACAAUGGGCGCAAGCCUGAUGCAGCGACGCCGCGUGCGGGAUGGAGGCCUUCGGGUUGUAAACCGCUUUUGAUCGGGAGCAAGCCCUUCGGGGUGAGUGUACCCUUCGAAUAAGCACCGGCUAACUACGUGCCAGCAGCCGCGGUAAUACGUAGGGUGCAAGCGUUAUCCGGAAUUAUUGGGCGUAAAGGGCUCGUAGGCGGUUCGUCGCGUCCGGUGUGAAAGCCCAUCGCUUAACGGUGGGUCUGCGCCGGGUACGGGCGGGCUGGAGUGCGGUAGGGGAGACUGGAAUUCCCGGUGUAACGGUGGAAUGUGUAGAUAUCGGGAAGAACACCA
rnacentral:rRNA from 1 species